CGGCGGACGGGUGAGUAACGCGUGGGUAACCUACCUCAUACAGGGGGAUAACAGUUGGAAACGGCUGCUAAUACCGCAUAAGCGCACAGUACCGCAUGGUACCGUGUGAAAAACUCCGGUGGUAUGAGAUGGACCCGCGUCUGAUUAGCUAGUUGGUGGGGUAACGGCCUACCAAGGCGACGAUCAGUAGCCGACCUGAGAGGGUGACCGGCCACAUUGGGACUGAGACACGGCCCAG
rnacentral:rRNA from 1 species